rnacentral:rRNA from 1 species
UGAAUGACUCCUGGCAAUGGAUAUCUUGGCUCCCGUGUCGAUGAAGAACGUAGCGAAAUGCGACACUUGGUGUGAAUUGCAGAAUCCCGUGAAUCAUCGAGUCUUUGAAUGCAAGUUGCGCACGAGGCCAUUAGGUCGAGUGCACGUCUGUUUGGGCGUUAUGU